AAUCUGCUCAAAUAUUCCAUUCAAAUCUUUUCCAUGGAGACAUAUAUAUCCAAUCUUUAUAGAUACACACCCAUAGUAAUAUAUAUUCCAAUCAAUCCCACAAUCUUUCUACACAUAAAUUCAAUACCAAGAAAAAUAGGGAACUAAAAUUUAGAGAAAGAACCGAGUUGGAGAAGAGAGUUUUCCGCCGCCUAAGAAGGUUUGACGGUGUUCCAUUUCCUGUAAUGUCCUGUAAUGUAAUAGUAGCCCAUAAUACUUGAACGUCCUGUAAUGUAAUAGUAGCUUCUCCUACGGGAAGAUGGAAUGUAUGUGUCUCUGGCCUCCAACGUUCUACCAAAGCUGUGAUCAAAGCAUGAUCUACAUCUAGAGCCUUCCCACAGUAAAAAACCCCACCGAAACCAAAUCUGCAGACAUAAUCAAUCACGCGUCUGUGAUGAUUAUCUAUUUCCCAAAAAUGGCCCUCAAAGCGCCGAAUAUUGAAAGGAGUUGUUUCCUCGCCUGCCCACGCCUUGCGAGAUAUAUGACUGUGCUGAUAAUGCAAUACAGAAAGAUCUUCUGGUCCAUAUCGCGACAUCCUAAUAUAAUCAACAAUUAACAACAUUCGACACCAAAUUUAUCACAAAUUCAUCCCAAUUUCAACAACAAAUUCAUCACAAAUUUCAACACCAAAUUCAUCCCAAUUUCAACACCAAAUUCAUCCUAAUUUCAACACCAAAUUCAUCCCAACAUGUCUUUCAUCACAAUUCAACACCAACUUCCUCACAAAUUCCUCACAAAUUUCAACCCAAUUUGGUGACUAAAUUAAUCCCAACAUGUCUUUCAUCACAAUUCAACACCAAAUUCAUCACAACACCAAACAUUCGAAACCAAUUUCAAUAUUUCAAUAAAAAUUCGACACCAAUUUCAAUAUUUUAACAAAAAUUCGCCACCAAUUUCAAUAAUUCAACAAAAAUUCGACACCAAUUUCAAUAAUUGACAAAUUCAAUAAUUUCAAAUCAUGAACCCUAAAUCUAUAAUAACCAACUAAAAUCGAAAUUAAGGGUAAAAUCUUACCUAACAAGAGUUAAAAGAGGAAUGGGAGCAGCUAUAUGUCGGAUUCACUUCAAUUUUCGUCGGCUAGAUGAGGAUUUCGCCGAGCAGAGAUGGGAAGCGCCAGGGAGAGUGAGAAAGAGGCAGAAAGCUGGGAGUGAGGAAGAGGGCUUCUGGUUCGUAAGUCAUUCAAGUAAAACACGCAAGAGAAAUUCGCGUGUAUAAAUUUAAACACGCAUGAGCAAUUCGCGUGUAUAAAUUAAAACACGCAUGAGCAUUUCGCGUGUUUAAUUGAAACACGCAUGAACGAAACGCGUGUUUAAUAUUGAUACACGCGAGAGCUUCUCGCGUCUUUCCCCUCUCUGGAAACUCUUUUUUUGCGGGUACAAACGACGGAUACUAACUCACACGAGGUACUUUCGUGGACUUUCCCCCUUCUUUUACACUUUUCUUCUCUUUUAAUUAAAUUUUGGAUAGAUUGUGGGAUUGGUGAUUUUUUAUCCCUUAAACUGUUGUCGACUCUCGUUAUGCGAUGGUUUUCCUCUGGUUUGGUUUCAUUAGUGUAUGCGACUAGAAGAGAUUAAUGGUCUUAGCUUGACAGGGAAUAUUUCACUGCCAUAUCGAGCGUGAUGUUGUUCUUUCGUUUCUAGUAAGGCUCUAAUGGUGCAUAAACUGUGUUGUGAGGCAUUCAUCACUAUUUCUCAGUACACGAAUACCACAUGAUGAACUGAUGAUACUGUCAUUGCUUGAGCUUGAGAGGAAACGAAAUCUUACCUCCAUCACUUGGCUCAAACUUCAGUCUUCCCUACUGCCUGAGAGGAAACGAAAUCCUUCCCUCUCUUCGACUCACUGUGCGAUUGUUUGUGAUAAUGAGGGAGGAAAGGGGCUGGAAUCUAUUUAUGCUUGUUGCCUAACUGAAAUCCUGAGAAAAGGCUGGUGUACUUGGCUGACAAGGGGUCCUUGGUUAGUUGUAUGUUGGCUGGCCUUGCAGCAUCGUUUUAACUGAUUUUGGUGGCACAUUGCAGGUACGAGCGAGGUACGAGCUGCAGGGGAUCAGCCUUGGAGAGUGCAACCACUGAGGUGAAAUUCUGUUGGCUGACUUGCUUCUCUCGGCCUAGCUCUCACUCACUUUUCUGAAAGGAACAGAGGCUGGCUACCGAGGCUGCCCUUCCUCGCGGUCUCGCCCUCUCGGCUUGUCUGAGAUACUGGGGCCGAGACGGCCUAGUGAUGAAGAUCAACGUAGUUGCUAGGGACCUCGAGUUGUAUUAGCGUAGUGCGCCUACGAAUUUAUUUUCAAUUUGUAUGCAAAACUCGAUACUAGUUGGUGUGUCCUUCUUUGUAACUUAUUAGCUUGAAAUUCUUCAUAUUGUAUAUAUUGAUUUUAUCUAAGAAA